rnacentral:rRNA from 1 species
UACAGAGGCCUCGAGCGUUAGGCGGAAUCACUGGGCUUAAAGCGUGUGUAGGCGGCGGCCUAAGUACCUUGUGAAAUCCCACGGCUCACCCGUGGAACUGCUCGGUAUACUGGGUCGCUUGAGCCACUUAGGGGCUACCGGAACAAAUGGUGGAGCGGUGAAAUGCGUAGAUAUCAUUUGGAACGCCAAUGGUGAAAACAGGUAGCUGGGAGUGUGCUGACGCUGAGACACGAAAGCCAGGGGAGCAAACGGG